UACAGAGGGGGCAAGCGUUGUUCGGAAUUACUGGGCGUAAAGGGCGCGUAGGCGGCCUUCUAAGUCGAACGUGAAAUCCCCGGGCUCAACCCGGGAACUGCGUCCGAUACUGGAAGGCUUGAAUCCGGGAGAGGGAUGCGGAAUUCCAGGUGUAGCGGUGAAAUGCGUAGAUAUUGGGAGGAACACCAGUGGCGAAGGCGGCUCACUGGACCGGUACUGACGCUGAGGCGCGAAAGCGUGGGUAGCAAACAGG
rnacentral:rRNA from 1 species